rnacentral:rRNA from 1 species
GACCCGUCUUGAAACACGGACCAAGGAGUCUAACAUGUGCGCGAGUCAUUGGGUUGCCUAAACCUAGAGGCGCAGUGAAAGCAAAGGCCGUUUUCGCGGCUGAGGGGUGAUCGCUGUCAAAGGCGCGCAACCCCGGCACUUCCCGUCGACCUUGCAUCGUGGGGAGUAGCAAGAGCGUACACGUUGGGACCCGAAAGAUGGUGAACUAUGCCUGGCCAGGUUGAAGUCAGGGGAAACCCUGAUGGAGGACCGUAGCGAUUCUGACGUGCAAAUCGAUCGUCGGAGCUGGGUAUAGGGGCGAAAGACUAAUCGAACCAUCUAGUAGCUGGUUCCUUCCGAAGUUUCCCUCAGGAUAGCAGGCGUUCAGUCGACGAGUUUCAUCCGGUAAAGCGAAUGAUUAGAAGUCUUGGGGACGAAACGUCCUCAACUUAUUCUCAAACUUUAAAUGGGUGAGAAGCGUGACUUGCUUGAGUGAAGCCGCGCAACGAAUCGGAGUGCCUAGUGGGCCAUUUUUGGUAAGCAGAACUGGCGCUGUGGGAUGAACCAAACGUUGGGUUAAAGUGCCUAAGUGGGCGCUCAUCAGAUCCCAUGAAAGGUGUUGGUUGCUUAAGACAGCAGGACGGUGGCCAUGGAAGUCGGAAUCCGCUAAGGAGUGUGU